rnacentral:rRNA from 1 species
GGCGAACGGGUGAGUAACACGUGGGCAAUCUGCCCAAAAGUGGGGGAUAACACUUGGAAACAGGUGCUAAUACCGCAUCAACCGGCUGACCGCAUGGUCGGCCGGGCAAAGACGGCGUCAGCUGUCGCUUUUGGAUGAGCCCGCGGCGUAUUAACUAGUUGGUAAGGUAACGGCUUACCAAGGUGAUGAUACGUAGCCGAACUGAGAGGUUGAUCGGCCACAUUGGGACUGAGACACGGCCCAAACUCCUACGGGAGGCAGCAGUAGGGAAUCUUCCACAAUGGACGCAAGUCUGAUGGAGCAACGCCGCGUGUAUGAAGAAGGUCUUCGGAUCGUAAAAUACUGUUGUCAGAGAAGAACACGUGAUAGAGUAACUGCUAUGGCGCUGACGGUAUCUGACCAGCAAGUCACGGCUAACUACGUGCCAGCAGCCGCGGUAAUACGUAGGUGGCAAGCGUUGUCCGGAUUUAUUGGGCGUAAAGGGAACGCAGGCGGUCUUUUAAGUCUGAUGUGAAAGCCUUCGGCUUAACCGGAGAAGUGCAUUGGAAACUGGAAGACUUGAGUGCAGAAGAGGAGAGUGGAACUCCAUGUGUAGCGGUGAAAUGCGUAGAUAUAUGGAAGAACACCAGUGGCGAAAGCGGCUCUCUGGUCUGUAACUGACGCUGAGGUUCG